rnacentral:tRNA from 1 species
GGAUAUAGCUCAGUUGGUAGAGUGCUUGCCUCGGGUGCACAAGGCCCUGGGUUCAAUCCCCAGCACCA